UAGAGUUUGAUCAUGGCUCAGAUUGAACGCUGGCGGCAGGCCUAACACAUGCAAGUCGAGCGGAAACGACAUUAUUGAAUCUUCGGAGGAUUUAAUGGGCGUCGAGCGGCGGACGGGUGAGUAAUGCCUAGGAAAUUGCCUUGAUGUGGGGGAUAACCAUUGGAAACGAUGGCUAAUACCGCAUAAUGCCUACGGGCCAAAGAGGGGGACCUUCGGGCUUCUCGCGCCAAGAUAUGCCUAGGUGGGAUUAGCUAGUUGGUGAGGUAAUGGCUUACCAAGGCGACGAUCCCUAGCUGGUCUGAGAGGAUGAUCAGCCACACUGGAACUGAGACACGGUCCAGACUCCUACGGGAGGCAGCAGUGGGGAAUAUUGCACAAUGGGCGAAAGCCUGAUGCAGCCAUGCCGCGUGUAUGAAGAAGGCCUUCGGGUUGUAAAGUACUUUCAGUUGUGAGGAAGGGUGUGUAGUUAAUAGCUGCGCAUCUUGACGUUAGCAACAGAAGAAGCACCGGCUAACUCCGUGCCAGCAGCCGCGGUAAUACGGAGGGUGCGAGCGUUAAUCGGAAUUACUGGGCGUAAAGCGCAUGCAGGUGGUUCAUUAAGUCAGAUGUGAAAGCCCGGGGCUCAACCUCGGAACUGCAUUUGAAACUGGUGAACUAGAGUGCUGUAGAGGGGA
rnacentral:rRNA from 1 species